UGGGGAAUUUUGGACAAUGGGCGAAAGCCUGAUCCAGCAAUGCCGCGUGUGUGAAGAAGGCCUUCGGGUUGUAAAGCACUUUUGUCCGGAAAGAAAUCCUUGGCUCUAAUACAGUCGGGGGAUGACGGUACCGGAAGAAUAAGCACCGGCUAACUACGUGCCAGCAGCCGCGGUAAUACGUAGGGUGCAAGCGUUAAUCGGAAUUACUGGGCGUAAAGCGUGCGCAGGCGGUUUGCUAAGACCGAUGUGAAAUCCCCGGGCUCAACCUGGGGAAACUGCAUUGGGUGACUGGCAGGCUAGAGUAUGGCAGAGGGGGGUAGAAUUCCACGUGUAGCAGUGAAAUGCGUAGAGAUGUGGGGGAAUACCGAUGGCGAAGGCAGCCCCCUGGGCCAAUACUGACGCUCAUGCACGAAAGCGUGGGGAGCAAACAGGAUUAGAUACCCUGGUAGUCCACGCCCUAAACGAUGUCAACUAGUUGUUGGGGAUUCAUUUCCUUAGUAACGUAGCUAACGCGUGAAGUUGACCGCCUGGGGAGUACGGUCGCAAGAUUAAAACUCAAA
rnacentral:rRNA from 1 species